rnacentral:rRNA from 1 species
AGAGUUUGAUCAUGGCUCAGAUUGAACGCUGGCGGCAUGCCUUACACAUGCAAGUCGAACGGUAACAGGUUAAGCUGACGAGUGGCGAACGGGUGAGUAAUAUAUCGGAACGUGCCCAGUCGUGGGGGAUAACUGCUCGAAAGAGCAGCUAAUACCGCAUACGACCUGAGGGUGAAAGCGGGGGAUCGCAAGACCUCGCGCGAUUGGAGCGGCCGAUAUCAGAUUAGGUAGUUGGUGGGGUAAAGGCCCACCAAGCCAACGAUCUGUAGCUGGUCUGAGAGGACGACCAGCCACACUGGGACUGAGACACGGCCCAGACUCCUACGGGAGGCAGCAGUGGGGAAUUUUGGACAAUGGGCGCAAGCCUGAUCCAGCCAUGCCGCGUGCGGGAAGAAGGCCUUCGGGUUGUAAACCGCUUUUGUCAGGGAAGAAAAGGUUCUGGUUAAUACCUGGGACUCAUGACGGUACCGAAGAAUAGACCG